rnacentral:lncRNA from 1 species
CAAACCUAAAUAAACCUAAUCCCAAAACCCAAUUACAAACCAACCCAAAUAACCCAGGCCCAACUAAGCCUAAAACCCUAAAUGCACCAAACAAAAAUUUCAAACCCUAGGUGCGCCGCACCUAGGGCCUUCUGUUCGUCUGCCACCUCCUGCCUGUUACAGCACCGCCCCACCGUCGUCCAAGUUGCGCCCCUGCAAGCAUUAAAUGAGAGUUGACAUAAAGCAGAAAUCAAAGCAUGUAAUGGCUAUUUAAAGCCAAAUCAAAAAACCAUUUGUACAUUCGGGAUUUUGGUGAAAUAAUAAACAACAUUAGAUUUAAAAAAAACACAAGCAAAGAUAGAGACUUUAGCAACAUCAAAAGCAGGAAACAACCCAAGGAAGAAAUCAAAAUUAGAAAUCGAAAGGUGUUCUAAAUUUCCUAAGUUUCGAAUCAGUUUCUUUCUUCCCUUUUUUUGCCUUUUUUGUUUAUAUGGGUGUGCAUAUAUAGAUUAAAAACAUAAGAAAAAUAAUAAAAAAGGAAGAAAAAUCACCUUUUUUUUAAACUCACGGCGGCGCACGGCGGUCCGAUGAUCGGACGGUGGCCGGCCUUACUGCCG